GCCGGCGUAUCUCAGUUGGCUAGAGAAUCCGGUUCAUACCCGGAGUGUCAUUGGUUCGAAUCCGAUCGCCGGUACCA
rnacentral:tRNA from 2 species